AGCUUAAUGGUAAAGCACCCAACCGGCAAUUGGGGGAUCUGGGUUCAAGUCCCGG
rnacentral:tRNA from 1 species